rnacentral:rRNA from 1 species
CCUACGGGGGGCAGCAGUGGGGGAUAUUGCACAAUGGGGGAAACCCUGAUGCAGCGACGCCGCGUGGGGGAAGAAGUAUUUAGGUAUGUAAAGCCCUAUCAGCAGGGAAGAAGAAAUGACGGUACCUGACUAAGAAGCACCGGCUAACUACGUGCCAGCAGCCGCGGGAAUACGUAGGGGGCGAGCGUUAUCCGGAUUCACUGGGUGUAAAGGGAGCGUAGACGGCCAUGCAAGCCAGGGGUGAAAGCCCGGGGCCCAACCCCGGGACUGCCCUUGAAACUGGAUGGCUGGAGUGCGGGAGGGGCAGGCGGAAUUCCUGGUGUAGCGGUGAAAUGCGUAGAUAUCAGGAGGAACACCGGCGGCGAAGGCGGCCUGCUGGACUGCGACUGACGUUGAGGCUCGAAAGCGUGGGGAGCGAACAGGAUUAGAUACCCUAGUAGUC